UGCUGUAGGCUUAUCUGUGCAGGUGGUUGCUGAAGAAGAAAGAGGCCCUGAUCUAAGUGAGAAUAUGCAAUAAAUGAGGAGAGGAAGAAACCGCAUCUUCACAUCUUUAUAUCUCCCACAGCCUCAAACACAUUGGUUGGCACAGAAUAUUAAAGACAGUUCGAGUUGGUUCUGUUUGGGGAACUCCUAUAAAAGGCCAACUAUGAAUUCAAGGUGGGUGUGAGGUAAGAGCUGAGGAGUCAAAUGAAAUAUAAGCUAUCCAAGAAUGCCUUUAUUCCAUUUGAGUUUCUGUAUUUACUUUUCUUAAAGGCUGUAUUUCCACUUCUUCUCUCUUGAUAGCUUCAACAUUGUUGAUUACUUGCCUCCUAGAC
rnacentral:lncRNA from 1 species